CACCGGCCGGGCCUGCCGCUCGACACGCACCGUCCGCUUCGUUGAACUUGUUGCGCUUCAUGGUUCAAAAAGGUUGCUCGAUCAACCGGUAUGUCUGGUCGG